ACUUAUGAGCAAAUAAUUAAAUAUGUCAAACGUAACAAAAACAGCUUUAUUGACUGUAGUAAUAAUAGUAGUAACAAUUUUAAUGAAAAAAAAGAAGAAGGACAAAAAAAAGAAGAAAAAAAAAAAAAAGAAGAAGGACAAAAAAAAGAAGAAAAAAAAAAAAAAACAAUUAUAGAUAAUAAAUUUAUUAUGAUAAGAGGAAGAGUGGAAAAGAAAGAUAAACAAUCCAAGCGUAUUUUCUUACAAAUUAGGCAAAAUGGUGGCACAUAUAUUACUUGUGUUUAUGAGAAAAAUGAUAAUUGCAAUAGUUGUAGCAGUGGAAAAAGCAAAAAUGUACUCUCAAAACUACAGCAAGACCAAAUGUAUAUAUAUAUCAAAAAUAUAAAAAGCGAAAGUGUAGUUGAUAUUGUAGGUCAAAUAAAAAUACAUGGAGAACUUAUAAAUUACAAAGUACCAUACUUAGAAAGUUUGUUAAACAAAAAAUGUUUAGAAAUUGUUGUUAAAAAAAUAAAUUGUAUCUCUCAAUCUUUUAGUUUUAUUCCUAUAAUAAUAAAUGAUAAUAAAAAUAUAAUUACUAACAGUAUAAACAGUUUUACGGAUAUACAUAAAAAUGUACAGAAUGGUUAUAUAGCUAAAAAAGUAAAAGCUAUAAAUAUGACUAGCAACAUAAGUAAUAAAGUUGAUUAUACAAACGAAAUAAGUGGUCCAGGGGUAGAAUUAAUUACUAAUAGACAUCAUGAUGGUGGUAGUUGUAGAAACAUGAGCAGCACAAGCAACAGUAUAAUCGGAAAUAGUAGCAUUAGCAAAACCAACGAAGCCAUUUUAAAAAAAGAAAAUUUUUGCUUAAAUUAUAGGAACCCGAUAAAUCAACUUAUCGUUCAUAUAAAAAGUAAAAUAUGUCAAAAAUUAAGAAAAAUAUUAAACAGGAGUGGGUACAUAGAAGUAUUUAGCCCAAAAUUGAUUCAAACUGAUACAAAAAAAAAAAAAAAAAAAGGAAAAAAAAAAGUAGAAACAGGAACAGAAACUAUAGGUGAAAGAAAUGCAAGUUCUAUUAACAUAUCUGAUUUAUACACGUAUACUAACAGUAUGAGUAAUGUCACUCCUUCGAAGAUAACUUCUUCUAAUAUUGUUAAUGAUAUUACUCAUUCAUAUAAAAUUAAUAAAUGUAAUGAAUCGAAUACAAAUGCAAAUACAAAUGCAAAUGCAAAUGCAAAUACAAAUGCAAAUACAAAUGCAAAUACAAAUACAAAUACAAAUGCAAAUACAAAUGCAAAUACAAAUGCAAAUACAAAUGCAAAUGCAAAUACAAAUGCAAAUACAAAUGCAAAUACAAAUACAAGUACAACCAUAGAAUUAAAUGGCACUGAAAGUGGUAGUAAUUGUUUUAAAAUUUGUGGAAACAAUUUGAUACUAGCACAAAGUCCUCAGUUUUAUAAACAAAUGAUCAUAAAUAGCGAUUUUGAAAAAAUAUUUGAAAUAAAUUUUGCUUAUCGAAACGAAGAAUUUCAUACAACUAGACAUCUAAAUGAAUAUACAUCAAUUGAUAUUGAACAAAACAUUUAUUCCAAUUAUUAUCAGCUUAUUUUAUAUUUAUAUACAAUUUUAAAAAAAAUUAAUACAUACUUAAACACAUAUUUGUAUAAAGAACUGCAGUUAAUCAGGUUGUCAAGCUGUACCAGUGGUAGUAGCAGUGGUAGUAGUAGUAGUAGUAGUAGUAGCAACAGUGGUAACUCCGAAAGCAAAACCAAAUCGGAUGAUAAACAACCUAUAUACUUCAGUAAACACACAAAUUUUGAGAAACAUAAAUUUUCGUGCAAUCCAAUAAUCUUAUCUUUUGUCGAAGCACAUAAUAUACUAAAC
ensembl:lncRNA